rnacentral:ncRNA from 1 species
UGACAACCAAUGACGGAGAAAAGUAGUUAAGAAUACACAUGGCCAGAGAGGAAAUGCCUUAGGCUGGGAGCAUUUCUCCAUGAUGACUUAACGAAAGACACUCCGUAGGUUUCCCUUUGAACGCGCUGUUUGCGCCAGUAAAAGGGAACGCGAGACACGCGUUAUCGGUAAAAAGUGGAAGCAUUUUGCUUCAAUUAGGGUGGCACCACGGGAAAUAACGCUCUCGUCCCUAUU